AAUCCCGUUGAUAACUGUAACUACAAACAUUUGUCAACCCCUACCCACAUUAAGUCAAAAAAUCUUCAGAAGAUCUCUCUCCCCAAUAUGGUAAACUCAUCGUUCUUUCUUCUUCCCUAGGGUAAAAAUUGCUCAUCGGCCUCCUACUCACCUCCUGUACCGUCGGCCACCACCUGUACUGAACCAGCGCUAAUUUUGAGUCUAGUCUCAAGAAAAUUUAGGCGAUUCAAGCUAACAAGCAUGUUUGGUACUGUCGAAUCCCCUAACUCCCGAUGGUGGUUGAAGAGACUCGUUGACGUCCAAAGAGAUCUUCUCUAGGUUCUGCAAAAGAGAAUACCGUUAGCCUCGUCACGGAGGGCCCCGGAGGGGAUCCAUGACCAAGCUCCAGCGUGAGAAUAAGUAAACUUGCCGGAGAAGAAAGGUUAUUCUGGCAUGAUGAAGUUGCCAGAAUGUUUUGGUGUGAAUCCUGAGAUUCGAGUAUUCAAUGCGAAUCAAGGAAUGUUCGAAGUGAAUGCAGUUCUUGUAUAUGUCUGAUGGUUAUUCAAUGCUUACCUUAAUCGAUCAUGAGUAUAGCUUAUAUAUAGAGAUAAGCUUAUCAACCGGUGGGGUUCUAUGUAUGAUCUAACGGUCUCUUGUUAGACAGAGAGGAUCUUUGCAGCGCCGAAUGCGUGUCUCACCCUCACCGAAUGCGUGUCUCACUACCAACCUCGUACUUCUCUGGUUGUAGCUUUAGCUUUCUCUCUCUUCUGCAGGCCAUUAAUGGCCUUGCAGGGACGAUGAGGUGAUAGAUCUUUUCUAUUCCCGCUCUUUUAUCAUGCUACUCUUUGAGAAUAACAGCAAGACGAAGAGCCCAAACGAGGGGCCCUCGUCGACAGGUUACUUCAGCAGCUUGCUCAAUCUUAGUCAAGAUGAUUGGUAAUGCAUAAACGCAUUAUUAGUUUUAGACCCAUUCAUAGCCAUAAGGGGAGGAUAUUGGUCAAGAGUUUUUACAUUGUAUACAUGGCUAAGGUAUUAAAAAUGCUACGAUCAAGACGGUUGACGACACAUCUAGUAAUGAUAAGGCGAUUGAUUAUCUGUUGAGAAAUUGACCAAUUUGUAUGCCGAGGGGAAACAUUUUCAUAUUAGGUGUGUGGCACACAUACUAAACCUAAUUGUCAAGGAUGGUUUAAUGGAAAACAAUUAUCAUGUUGAUUGUUUAGGAAAAGCGGUUAGAUAUAUUCGGAACUCAACGCAAAGAAUAACCAAGUUCAAAAAGUGCAUGGUGGCUUCGGAUCUUGAAUCAACAAAGUUUUUGUGUGAAGAUUUGCCUACUAGGUGGAAUUCCACCUAUGAGAUGUUGAAAACGGCGGUGGAUUUAAGGGAUAUAUAUUUCUCUUAUAAACUUGAAGAUAGCGGCUAUAAUCAUGAUUUGGAAAGACUACCUGAACAUUCUGACUUUGGUGCUUGUGAAAAGUUGGUUAAAUUUCUAGAAAACUUUAAGACCAAAACAGAAAUUGUGUCAUCCCCAUCAAAGCCGUUAGCUCACCUAUUUUUUAGAGAAAUCCUAGAUGUAAACAAACAUCUAUGGGUGUGGGAUUGCGAUCCAACUUUUUCUACAAUGAUUACUUCAAUGCGUGAGAAAUAUGACAAGUAUUAGAGGAAGUUUGACAAACUUAACGACUGCAUGUAUUUUGCUGUUAUCUUGGAUCCCACCAUUAAAUUACAUUUUGUUGAACAUUGUUUUACAGAGAUGAUUAUCUCUAACGUAAUCGAUGAUGAUCAUGUGUCAAAAGAAGACAUUAAAAAGAUGGUAUCGAUGAAGUCGUUUGAUCUUGAGAGUAGGUUACAUGAGCUAUUUCAAACAUACAAGGACCGACUUGACAAUUUCGAUUACAAUUAGGCAUCGCAAAAAGCACGUAACGACGAUGUUGUUGAAUGUGAUGGCAAUGGCUUCUUCAUGGAGUUUCUAAAUAAGGAAGAAAGUCAAUCGGUUGGUAUGGAAACUAAGUUAAAGAGGUACUUAAAUGAGCCAAAAGUGAAUUUUAGUAUCAAAAUUGACAUACUUAAGUGGUGGAAACAAAACGCGAUUAGAUUCCCAAUUGUAUCUCGGAUGGCUAAAGGUAAAUUAAUUUACCUUUAUCAUGUUUUUUUAACAUUACUUGGUUAUAUUAUUGUUUUUUUUUAAUUUGCAUAAUAGUUAGAUAUUUUGGCAAUUCAAAUUUCCACGGUCGUAUCUGAAUCGGCGUUUAGCACCGACGGUCGUGUACUAGAUGCUUAUUGAGCAAGGUUGUCAACUAAAAUCGUUGAAGCUUUGAUUUGUACCCAAGAUUGGUGAGAAAGUCAAGAAAACCAAUUGUGGAUGACAUAAUAUAUUAAAGGAUGACGACAUUGCCAUAGAGAUUGAAGAUGCGAUUCAAAAACAAUGACAAAGGGAAAGAGAUGGUGCAUAACAAGGCUUAAGCAAACUCAAGGAAAUAGAGUUUGAGUGCGGUUAAAUGGUUAUACUUUUGCUCACAUGGAGUUAGACUUUUGUUUUGUUCUUAUUUGACCUAAGUGUCUUUUAACUCUCCUGAUGUGAGGUCAAGUUUUUGUGUAUGAGAUGGGUUUGUGCUUGAAACAUUCGUAACAAAUUAUGUGUUUUGAUACGAACCAUUUCCUACUGGAAUAUUUGCUUGGUAACAUAUUUAUUUUUUGUCAAUGUU